AACAAACGCUGGCGGCGUGCCUAACACAUGCAAGUCGUACGAGAAAGGGUCCUUCGGGGCCUGAGUAAAGUGGCGCACGGGUGAGUAACGCGUGGAUAAUCUGCCCUUCAGUUGGGAAUAACUCAUCGAAAGGUGGGCUAAUACCGAAUAAUGCUGUGAGAUCUCGGUUGAUCAGCCAAAGAGAGCCUCUGCUUGCAAGCCCUCGCUGAAGGAUGAGUCCGCGUACCAUUAGCUAGUUGGUAGGGUAAUGGCCUACCAAGGCGACGAUGGUUAGCUGGUCUGAGAGGAUGAUCAGCCACACUGGAACUGGGACACGGUCCAGACUCCUGCGGGAGGCAGCAGUGAGGAAUCUUGCGCAAUGGGGGCAACCCUGACGCAGCAACGCCGCGUGAGUGAGGAAGGUCUUCGGAUCGUAAAGCUCUGUCGGAUGGAAAGAACCGCAUAGGGGUAAACAGCCCCUGUGUCUGACGGUACCAUCAAAGGAAGCACCGGCUAACUCCGUGCCAGCCGCCGCCGUAAUAC
rnacentral:rRNA from 1 species